rnacentral:ncRNA from 2 species
GAGUAACUAUGACUCUCUU